rnacentral:rRNA from 1 species
AGGCUGUCUCCACCCGAGACUCAGUGAAAUUGAACUCGCUGUGAAGAUGCAGUGUACCCGCGGCAAGACGGAAAGACCCCGUGAACCUUUACUAUAGCUUGACACUGAACAUUGAGCCUUGAUGUGUAGGAUAGGUGGGAGGCUUUGAAGCGUGGACGCCAGUCUGCGUGGAGCCGACCUUGAAAUACCACCCUUUAAUGUUUGAUGUUCUAACGUGGACCCGUUACCCGGGUUGCGGACAGUGUCUGGUGGGUAGUUUGACUGGGGCGGUCUCCUCCUAAAGAGUAACGGAGGAGCACGAAGGUUGGCUAAUCCUGGUCGGACAUCAGGAGGUUAGUGCAAUGGCAUAAGCCAGCUUGACUGCGAGCGUGACGGCGCGAGCAGGUGCGAAAGCAGGUCAUAGUGAUCCGGUGGUUCUGAAUGGAAGGGCCAUCGCUCAACGGAUAAAAGGUACUCCGGGGAUAACAGGCUGAUACCGCCCAAGAGUUCAUAUCGACGGCGGUGUUUGGCACCUCGAUGUCGGCUCAUCACAUCCUGGGGCUGAAGUAGGUCCCAAGGGUAUGGCUGUUCGCCAUUUAAAGUGGUACGCGAGCUGGGUUUAGAACGUCGUGAGACAGUUCGGUCCCUAUCUGCCGUGGGCGCUGGAGAACUGAGGGGGGCUGCUCCUAGUACGAGAGGACCGGAGUGGACGCAUCACUGGUGUUCGGGUUGUCAUGCCAAUGGCACUGCCCGGUAGCUAAAUGCGGAAGAGAUAAGUGCUGAAAGCAUCUAAGCACGAAACUUGCCCCGA